rnacentral:rRNA from 1 species
AUUGAACGCUGGCGGCAGGCCUAACACAUGCAAGUCGAGCGAGCGGCGGAGGGGUGAGUAAUGUAUGGGGACUGCCCGAUAGAGGGGGAUAACUACUUGAAACGGUGGCUAAUACCGCAUACUAUCGGAUAACCCAUAUGGGAGUAGCUAGUAGGUGGUGUAAAGGCUCACCUAGGCGACGAUCUCGAGCUGGUCUGAGAGGAUGAUCAGCCACCAGGGGAAUGAGAAACGGCCCAGACUCAUACGGAGGCAGAAGUGGGGAAUAUUGGACAAUGGGCGCAAGCAUGAUGCAGCAAUGCAGCGGGUAUGAAGAAGGCCUUAGGGUUGUAAAGUAAUUUCAGCGGGGAGGCGUUACCCGCAGAAGAAGCACCGGCUAACUCCGUGCCAGACGCCGCGGUAAUAC